AUACGGAGGGGGCUAGCGUUGUUCGGAAUUACUGGGCGUAAAGCGUACGUAGUCGGACUGAUCAGUUGGGGGGGAAAUCCCAGGGCUUAACCCUGGAACUGCCUUCAAUACUGUCAGUCUUGAGUUUGGGAGAGGUGAGUGGAAUUCCUAGUGUAGAGGUGAAAUUCAUAGAUAUUAGGAGGAACACCAGUGGCGAAGGCGGCUCACUGGCCCAUUACUGACGCUGAGGUACGAAAGCGUGGGGAGCAAACAGGAUUAGAAACCCUAGUGUCC
rnacentral:rRNA from 1 species